rnacentral:rRNA from 1 species
UACGUAGGUGGCAAGCGUUGUCCGGAAUUAUUGGGCGUAAAGCGCGCGCAGGCGGUCCUUUAAGUCUGAUGUGAAAGCCCACGGCUCAACCGUGGAGGGUCAUUGGAAACUGGGGGACUUGAGUACAGAAGAGAAGAGUGGAAUUCCACGUGUAGCGGUGAAAUGCGUAGAGAUGUGGAGGAACACCAGUGGCGAAGGCGACUCUUUGGUCUGUAACUGACGCUGAGACGCGAAAGCGUGGGGAGCAAA